rnacentral:ncRNA from 2 species
GCUACAUGUAGAUGUCACGGUCCCUCGAAUCGCAAGAUCGGGGGCUAAGAGGGAAGCCGGUGCGGCGCGAGCCAAAGCCGGAGCUGCCCCCGCAACUGUAAGCGGUGAGCCGACGUCCAGCCUUUGUCACUGAGGCCGAAAGCCUCGGGAAGACGGACCGAAGCGACGAUCCGCGAGCCAGGAGACCUGCCGCGACAACAGAACGUCU